GGGUGCGGCGCUCCCGUCGAUGGUUCCUCCUACAUCGUCGUCGUCGUUGUUGUCGUUGUCGUCGUCGUCGUCGUCGUUGAACAUUCAUCCCUUCCUCGGCGUGAGAUGCCCCUUCCUGUCGACGCGUCGAGUUGCGUCGGUGUCGGCGGGGUGGCGGCAGCCAGGCGCACGAGGAGGAGGCUCGAAACUGUUCGUUUCCUCUAGUGGCUCUCGUGUGCUCGCGUGACACGUGCGUGAAGGAAAAGACAAGCCAGGUUUUGUGUUUGGUGGUGAAAAAUUCGACGACUCACGUUAACACACCCCCGCUUACGCCGUUGACCCCCCCUCACCACCGCCCCCCCCACCGCAUUAUCGUGUAUUUCGUUUUUUUUUUCUUUUGCCUUUCGUCGACGAACGUGCGUUAACACUACCACCCCCCACUGUACUUUCUGUUUUUUCUUUUUAUUUUUCUUUUUCUUUUUCUUCUUCUUCUUCUAUUUUGCGUCGAGAAAGAUCAGAAACAAAAAGGACAGACGCGCACGCACGCACGCACGAAAGGCAAAAAAAUAGAAAAUGAGGAAAAAUUAAAGGACAACGUCGAUCGAUCGAUCCUGCCUUCUUCUUCUACCGAAGAGAUUCGUCUUAUUACGUGUGGGAGACACCAUAUAUACAUAUAUAUAUAUAUAAAGAGAUACUUUCGCAAAAGUUUGAGAAACACAUUAAUAUUGGCUCGGAUUUGAUUUCCAACUUGGCGCAAUACUCUCGACAAGAAAUUUCUUUUUGCUAUUUUUCGAUAACACCAUCCCCUUCAACGCUCCCCCCAUCACCCUCCUAACCCUCAGCCCGUACUAUUCCCAUCCUUUUUCUCCGUUCGUUUCUCUCUAUCAUUUUUCUAUCUUUUUAUCUUCCCUUUUAUUUUCUUCUUUUACUUGCUUUUUCUUUUUUUUUCUUUUUCAUUCGAAGUCUUCGUAAACCAUCGAAUUUGGCACUUGAGUUUUCUAUCUCUUUAUUAGGGCGCAAGUCCUGGAAGCUUCCUUUUCUUUCGUUCCCAUAUUUGUGAUCUUUCGGUAUUCGAGAUAUUUGAUUUUCCAAGAGAAUUGACCUUCGUCUUCGAUUAUAUCACGACUCGUGGUCGUUCUAGAAUUUAAUUAUUCCCCGAGUGGAUGGAUAGUCAUCGAGGAAGAUUUCGAGGUUACGGACUAUAGGACGAGGGAAAGGAUUUCUUUUUUUCUUCAUUUCUCUCAUCCCCCCUCACCACAACCACCAUCCUCAUCCCUGUCGUUUAUUCCUCCCUCGCCCCCUAAUAAAUUAAAAAAUAUCCAAGAACGAGAAGAAGAAGAAGAAGAAGAAGAAGAAGAAGAAGAAAGAUAUCGAAAAUUCGAGAGAGUUCACAGUGAAUAUAUUUUAUUAAAAAAUAUAAUAAGUGUAUUAUAAUUCGAUCAUAAAAAUUUGAUCAUAAAAAAACUAUGUGUGAAUCAGUGAUCAAUCUAUACAUCGAACAUUUCAAUCAAAUUCAAAGUGAAAUCGUCAGUCGUAAAACGAGAAAGAAAGUUAAGUGUGGUGAAACGAAAACGUCUGUCGUUUUAAUAAAAAGACAACGAUUACGAUAGACAAAAGUUUUAUUUCGCGAAAAUAUUAUAAUAUGGUUUUUUAAAAGAAGAUAUUCAAGAAAUUGGAAUUACACGUCGCAAGAGAAGAAAAAUUAUGCAAAUUGUGUGGGUGUGCGCGUGUGUAUACGUGUUAGUAGUGUGCGUUCGAUAAGAAGAAAAAAGAAAAUCUUGGAGAAACUUAAAAAAAAGGUGGAAAUCAAGGAACAAUAGUGGUGUGGAUGAACGGGUUUAAGAUGAAAUGAUAUCAAGUAGUCCUUUACUUUCUGUUUGUGAACAGUGAACGAAGGAUAUAAAAAAGUGAUUUUCAUUCGUUCUACUAUCGUUACGAUUACAUACCUUUUUGAUAAGGAAAAAUAAAAGAAAGAAAGAAAGAAAGGAAGAAAGAAAGGAAAGAAAAAUAAAACAAUGUGAAUCGAAGAAUGAUGAGUUAUCCUGACACGAGUUAUGCCGUAAGGAGGAGACUCUUUAUCAGGAACAGAAAGAAAUGAAGUUAUCAGUGUCGGCUUACAGAGCUCAGGCCAGUGCUCAUAAAAAAAUCCUUUGCAAUUAUCAACAACAACUUAGUUACGGUGCUACAAAUCAGGCAUCCUCGAACCGGACCCCCUCGGACCCCGCUGCGGUCCUGUCUGGCCUCAAGCUCUGAAUGUACCAAUUAGGAGUGCGCGCGAUCUUAGAAAAUGUCACAAAGACAGCCAGUGGUUCGUAUAUCGCUCCCCGUAAGU